rnacentral:rRNA from 1 species
CCCUUAGAUGUUCUGGGCCGCACACGCGCUACACUGAAGGAGGCAGCGUGUACUCCUGGAUCGAAAGAUUUGGGUAACCCGCGAAUCUCCUUCGUGCUAGGGAUUGAGGUUUGCAAUUAUCCUUCAUGAACGAGGAAUUCCCAGUAAGUGCAAGUCAUAAGCUUGCGCUGACUACGUCCCUGCCCUUUGUACACCCCGCCCGUCGCUACUACCGAUUGAAUGAUUUAGUGAGGACUUCGGACUGGGACCGAUGCGGCUUUCGGGCUGCGUCGGUAUUCUGGAAAGAUGUCCAAACUGUAUCAUUUAGAGGAAGUAAAAGUCGUAACA